UCGUGCUAGACGGGGAGAUAGCGGUGCCCUGUAGCCCGCAAUCCGCUAUAGCGGGGUCGAAUUCCACGUCUGAGAGUCGGUAUUUUGGAUCGCGGUCAAUGAGUGUGCAGCGUUGAUCGUCAGGUCCUGCGCAACGUGCCUAUGCUGAACCCCGUCAGGACCGGAAGGUAGCAGCGGUAAGCAAAUAGGUGCGUGUGCCGCAGGGGCACCUGGCAGGAGCCAGCGCUCGUUGAACGCCCCGGGGUAGCGGUUCGAAGCGCGGUGCACGA
rnacentral:SRP_RNA from 1 species